rnacentral:rRNA from 1 species
AGAACGAACGCUGGCGGCAUGCCUAAUACAUGCAAGUCGAACGAACACUUCGGUGUUAGUGGCGCACGGGUGCGUAACGCGUGGGAAUCUGCCCUUGGGUUCGGAAUAACAGUUGGAAACGACUGCUAAUACCGGAUGAUAUCGAAAGAUCAAAGAUUUAUCGCCCAGGGAUGAGCCCGCGUAGGAUUAGCUAGUUGGAGAGGUAAAGGCUCACCAAGGCGACGAUCCUUAGCUGGUCUGAGAGGAUGAUCAGCCACACUGGGACUGAGACACGGCCCAGACUCCUACGGGAGGCAGCAGUAGGGAAUAGUUGGACAAGUGGGCGCAAGCCUGAUCCAGCAAUGACCGCGUGAGUGAGUGGAGGUACCGUUAAGGGGUUGUAAAAGGUCGUUACCUUUUAACCCGGAGUAA